rnacentral:lncRNA from 1 species
GCUAUACAGAGAAACCCUGUCUCGAAAAACCAAAGAAAAAACAACAAAAAAAAAAAACAAAAAAAAACCCAAAAACAAAAACAGACAGUGACACCAACUGGGGACCAAGUAUUCAAACAUCUGAGCCUAUAGGGACAUUCUCAUUCAAACCACCACAUAUACUUAUGUGCAUUCUCUACAUAUGUUUACAUCUAUAUGCAAAUAUGAAAGCCUGUUAGUAUUCAUGUGGAAUUGGUUACAUGACCUCCUAAGGAUACCAGAAUCUGUAAAUGCUCAGAUCCCUACAUAAAAUGGUGUAAUAUUUGCAUACAACCUAUAGCCAUCUUCCAGUAUAUGUUAAGUCAUUUCUAGAUUAUUUAUAGUGUCUAGUAAAAUAUAAAUUUUGUAAAUAGUUACUAUAUUGUUAAUGUUGAAGGAUUAUGAAUUGAAGGACAGCCUAGCCUAUAUAGGAAAUUUUAGGCCAGCCUGGGUUAUAUGAUAAGGUCCUAUCUCAAAUCUUUAAAUCUGUAGUUUUGAGGGUCUGGAGAGAUGUCUUGGUGAUUAAGAGUACUAGCUCUUUUUACUGAGGACCCAGAUUCAUUUCCCAGCAUUCACAUGGCAGCUUAUAACUAUCUGUAACUCAAAUUCCAGGGGACUUGACACUCUCUUCUAGUCUCUGUGGGUACUCCAUACACUUGGUGCACAUAUAUACAUGUAAGCAAAACACCCACAAAACAAAAAGAAAUCUUUUUUUUAAAAACACAUUAAAAUCUGUAGUUGGUUGAAUCCUUGAAUGCAGAAUGCACAGAGAAAGGUGGGCUAACUGUACAUAUUUUAGAAGUCAUACAGUGCUCUGUGAGCAGCUUUUCUUGAGCAACAGCACUCACCAAUACACACACACAUACACAAACACACACUAUAUUCACCCCAGAGAGGGAAUGCACAGUAGGCCAAAGAAAUGAUUGCACCAAAGUCCAACUUGCUGAACCAAUGCAUUUUUAUUGCAGUAAAUAAUAAGAGUAUGGGUAAAAGGUUACUUGGAAAAACAGGGAUGGCUCAAAAAAGCAACUGUAUCUCACCCAAGAUAGCUCAUGGCUUAGGAAAGUUGCAAGCCUGGAGCCCUGAGCACAGCUUGCAGGCAGUUCCUCAGUGGUCUCUCCUGCACACCUUGGCUGCUCUAUGUCUCCUUCCCCAGUAGUUGUUUACUCCUUUUAUAGAACUGCCAACGUGAGGGCGGGAGGCUAGAGAAUCUUCCAUUUUCCUAGACAUGUGAUGUUUUGUUUAUCUCCUGGGUCGCUUGAGCUCUGGAUUUCUCCUGGAGGGAAAGUUUGAAAUAGGAGGAAACUGCAGCCAGACAGCAUGCAGACAGAUCAAGACCACCCACUUCUAACUCAUCUCCACAAGUUCUUUCUUGCCUUCACCCUUUCCAUAUGCAUGUUCUUUUCUCCGUAGUAAGAAUUUGGGGUCUCAAGAACAUGAAUACAUAUUUGCUCAACCCGGCAAAUAUGUCUAAAAUAUUUUCAGAACUGAUUUGCUCAGGGACUGAGUAUAUAGUUGCAUGGAAGAGUACUUAAACAGUUCUUCCCUCAUCUGUAUGUUCCAUGGUCAUUAUUCCUUUAAAAUGUAGUGGAUUUAAUUUGUUUCAGUUUGCCUUUAGUCCCAUUCCCCCCCCACUGUUUUGUUGAUUUAAUUUUAACCUUUUGAACUGCUAUGUAAUUUUUAAAUGUGAAAUUAUAAUUUAUUGAUAGAGUUUUAGUUUUUGCACUUAUUUUAAUGAAAUUUUUCUUAAAAGGGAAAUAUGCAAAAAAGUAUACUCAUGGGAAUUUCCUUUUUUCUGGUAUCCCUUUUCCCUCCACCCUCAUCCUUUGUAAGUGACCAACUUUGUUAUCAUCUUGGUUAUUGUUACCAUUGUUAUAGUUUUUGGAAGUCCAAGAAAAUGUAAUAUGAUUUAUUAUUUGCCUUUCUCCAAAAAUACUAUAGAAUAUGUAUGAUCUUUUGUAGUUAGACUUUUCCAGUUAACAGUAUUUCCCUAUCAGCUCAUAGAGAGCAUCCUCAGUCUUCUUUUACAACUAUAUAGUACUUCACAUGUAGAAAAUUUGUAGCUGUUUUUGUUUUUAAAAUUUUUGAGAGACUGGUUUCUUCUUUGUGAUAAAGGUUUUCCCGUGAUUUAUUGCCCACACUGUCCAGUGGUGUCCAGUGGUGUCCAGUGGUGUCCAGUUAAGGAAAAGUUUUGUUCUGAUCCUCAUCCUUUUUUCACAAGAAGACAAGAGUCAUUUAAUAUCUCAAUCAAUUCUUUUUUAAUUUACUUACUUGUGUUUUACGUGCAUUGGUGUAAAGGAGUGAGAUUCCCUGGAACUGGAGUGACAGGCAGUUAUGGGAAUUAAACAGCCAUCUCUCCAGCCUCCUCUCAAUCAAUGCUUUGUCCUAUUUCUGUAGUACAUCUUUUUGUUCCCUCAUUAUGAUUUUUGUUUGUUUGGUUGUUGUUUGAUCUUUUGAGAUAGCCUUGCCUGAGCCCAGAAGUUGCUCUAUAGUCAAGGCUGACAAUGAAAGCCUGACCCUCCUGCCUCUACCUCUGAGGUGCUGGGAUUACAGGUAUGUACCACCAUGCUCAAAUUUAUGUCUCAAUUUUUUGUAUUAAUUUUGGCCUUUUCAGCAUACCUUGAAUUAAGUAUGAAUCACUUGAUCAGCUCCCUUGUAAAAUAUUCACAAUACUAUUUCUAAUUUUUAAUCUCACUCAAUUCUUCAUUCGAACUCUAUAACAAUGACUUAAAUUGGUCCUCAUUUUCCAUGCCCUUUCCUUUCCAUCUUCAAGUAGAAUUGUAUUUUUAAAAUGUUAAACCAACUGGGAAACGGAUAACAGAAGAGAGAAGCC